GUAAGAAGGAGGUAGAUUAUAAAGAUCAACCGUAUUCUAGUUCCAGGUCUAUCAGUAUCGUGUGAGUGGAUAACCGUGCGUGUGUAAUAAAAUAAUUUUCCACUUUUAUUAAUUUCUCUUUCUCUCUGACCUUCCCCUUUUUCCCUUAACCCUCUUCUCAUCCUUUUUCUUUUUUCCCCUCCUUUUCCCUCUUUUUGUGCUUUCCCAGCAAGUAUUAAGAGCACACACCAGGCUGAGUACUGCUUCAAAGCUGUGGUUUAGCUCUGUGCAGAUUUGGACUCACUGAAAGAAUUAAUUUACCAGAGACUUUCACUGUUUUAACAGGAAGGAGAAGCAAUGACUGAAUGUUCUACCGUUUAAUAUUAAUCUUUUUAAGUACAAAAGCAAAACUCCAGGCUGGGCGUGGUGACGCAUGCCUGUAACCCCAGCACUGAGGAGUCUGCGCAGGAGGAUCACUGCCAGUUCAAGGCCAGCCUGGGCUAUAUAGUGAGACCCUGGCUCAAAAAUACAUAAAUAGGGUUGGAGAUAUAGCUCAGUGGUACUGCACCUCCCUGGCAAGCGCAAGGUCCUGAGUUCAAUCCCAGAACCAAAAAUAAAUAAAUAAAUGAAAAGCAAAACUUCCUUACCUAUGAGAAUGUAACGCUUUUUGGAUGUAACGCUUUUCAAGUUAUCCACGCUUAUUUAUUUUCACAUUUCCUAAAUGUCACGCCUUUCAUUUCAGUUUGGAAGUUUCGAACUUAUCCUGACAACAUGCCCUGAGGACCCUGUGCAGUUGAGGCUGCGAACAACAUCAUAUUUUGAUGGGCAAGAAAUCACUUGAAGUAGAUUCAAAAAUAUCCCUACUGGUGAUGGCAUCUCAGCACACCUUUGAAGUCUUCUAGAUUCCCACAAUCAUCCGAAAGAACAUGGAAUAAAAAGGUAU
rnacentral:lncRNA from 1 species